AAACAGUUGAUAAAACAGUGGCAGGAUUUCAGAAGAUUUACUUCAACUUAAAACAAGUUUUACUGUGGAUGAAAUGCUAUUAAACAGCAGCGCUAUAAGAUAAAUCUUUUGUGAAAGCAAGAGUCAACUGAUGCAUUAGGAAACCAAAAACUAGCAGGACCUGUACUCUGGAAGCAUCUGACUGGAAUGAAGAAUGAGGAGAGAAAGCAAAGAUCAGUUGUUGACAGAUUUACUGAACCAUAAAGAAAGGAAAAGAAGAAAACUGGCUCAUUGUUACAAAUCACUUCCUACUGUGGAUUUGAAGUCUUCUUAUUUUCUGCUUUUCAUCUAAAUUCAGCAUCAUGAUGCUGCAAUACAAUCAAAAGAAAAUGCUGUAAAUAUAAAAAUGUUAAUUUAAAGCUAUACACAUACCAGGUUCAAAGAAGAUGCAAGCCACAUGUCAGUGGGAUUGCCUGGGUUCAUCUGGACAGUCCAGCUCAUACAACAAGCAGGCCGGUGACUCUUUA
rnacentral:lncRNA from 1 species